rnacentral:rRNA from 1 species
GACGAACGCUGGCGGCGUGCCUAACACAUGCAAGUCGAGCGAGUGAAUCUCCUUCGGGAGUGAAGCUAGCGGCGGACGGGUGAGUAACACGUGGGCAACCUGCCUCAUAGAGGGGGAAUAGCCUUUCGAAAGGAAGAUUAAUACCGCAUAAGAUUGUAGCUUCGCAUGAAGUAGCAAUUAAAGGAGCAAUCCGCUAUGAGAUGGGCCCGCGGCGCAUUAGCUAGUUGGUGAGGUAACGGCUCACCAAGGCGACGAUGCGUAGCCGACCUGAGAGGGUGAUCGGCCACAUUGGGACUGAGACACGGCCCAGACUCCUACGGGAGGCAGCAGUGGGGAAUAUUGCACAAUGGGGGAAACCCUGAUGCAGCAACGCCGCGUGAGUGAUGACGGCCUUCGGGUUGUAAAGCUCUGUCUUCAGGGACGAUAAUGACGGUACCUGAGGAGGAAGCCACGGCUAACUACGUG